GGGUUCAUAGCUCAGUGGUAGAGCAAUUGACUGCAGAUCAAUAGGUCACCGGUUUGAACCCGGUUGGGCCCU
rnacentral:tRNA from 1 species